rnacentral:lncRNA from 1 species
GCCACUAAUGGAAAGCUUUGUUGUAAAAAAUCCCAAAGGGUAGAAUGUUGUUUCAGAUUUCUUCAACUGUCCACAGACUUUUUUUUUUUUUUUAAUUUUGAGACAGGGUUUCUCUGUGUAGGUCUGGCUGUCCCGGAACUCUGUGUGUAGACCAGGCUGGUUUCAAACUCACAGAGAUCUACCUGCCUCUGUCUCCCAAGUGCUGUGACUAAACUCACGCAUGACUAUGUGAGGCCUUGUUCACAGAUUGCUGGCCCAUAGUAAGAGUUGAGAAAAGUAAGAUCAACUUGAAGAAUUUUAUCUACAAAUUUAAAUAUAUUUUCAUCUUAACUAUUCAGAUAGUCGACCUGUUAUUUGAGGAUAUAAACCUAGUUCUUUGUUUUUCUUUAAAAAUGGUAGAUAUGAGCUGUUUACAUGCAGUCUCUACUUAAAUGGAAAGAGCCCAAAGAAAUGAUAGGCCCUGCAUUAUUUAGUUUUUUGUUGAAGCUCAUGAGCACACAUGUGUUCUUCAUAUUCAUAGUGUUUAAAGCAUUUCUUCAUUUGAUACCUACUGUACCCUAAUGCUUCCAAAUGGCUCCCGAUCAUCGUGUUUUCUUAUCAAUGACAUUUUUCAUUUCCCACUCUACCCCCACACUUCUAACUGGUUGGACUGAGGCGCUAACCCAUGCACAUACAGGCAUAAUUUGCAGUGCAGUUAGGAUCUUGUUGCUUGCUGAUAUCCUGAUUGUGAGUUGGGACACAGCAGAAUGUCUUCCCCCCGGGGGUAGGGUGGGAGAAUCUGGGGACUCUAAAGGACAAAACGUUGCAGUGCAGUAGAAAACCAUGUGUGGGAAAGGUAAUGUGCAGAUCAGCUUCCAUUUAUUAGCUCAGCUCUUUUUCCAAAUUGCCAAGGAUUAAGUGGCCCACCAGGAUUGCUCGGUGGCCCACAGCUGUUGGAAAGUGAGGAAGUGAUUUCUGUGAAGGGUCACAUGGCUGCUGUUGCCAUCAGAAUGAUAAUGUUUGAUGGAAUGAUUUUCCAGAGUGAAAAGGCUCCUCAGGUCUCCUGAGGACCACCGGCUGGAGGUGGGUCACUCACAGAAGCUACUACAUGUAUAUGAAGACAUGGGGUCAUGUUGUAAAGGGCUCAUUCAUGCUUUCUGAUUCUGUCUGAUUACAUCCCAGAGCCAUGCCAUGCCACUGCAAAGCUGACAGCUGCAAGGUGGGGUUUCCCCCAGUAGUAGCAGCUAUGGCAGUAGAAGAGGAAGUUUUAUUUCUAGGUAAAGUGGAAUCCAGAUACUAUGAAGUGGAGGGAGGGUGGGUGGGAAGGGUGGGUUGGGGAAAGGGAAGAAAGGAGGGUUUUUUUGUAAUAAAGUCAUAAAGUAUUUUUCCCUAAUUUUCUUGCAUUUCCUAUUUAUAUAAAGAAUCUUGAUCACUGUGUUGCUCUACAGAGAUUUUCAAUGGAAUUAAUUUGAGAGACUGAAUUAAUCUCUGAAAAAGAAAUUGACUAGUUAUACUUACUUUUGGACACUUUUUCUGUAUUGUGAAUUGUGUGGAAAUGUACAGAAUAAAAAUGAAAUAUAAUUG